rnacentral:rRNA from 1 species
AUACGUAGGUGGCAAGCGUUAUCCGGAAUUAUUGGGCGUAAAGAGGGAGCAGGCGGCAGCAAGGGUCUGUGGUGAAAGCCUGAAGCUUAACUUCAGUAAGCCAUAGAAACCAGGCAGCUAGAGUGCAGGAGAGGAUCGUGGAAUUCCAUGUGUAGCGGGGAAAUGCGUAGAUAUAUGGAGGAACACCAGGGGCGAAGGCGACGAUCUGGCCUGCAACUGACGCUCAGUCCCGAAAGCGUGGGGAGCAAAUAGGAUUAGAUACCCUAGUAGUCCACGCCGUAAACGAUGAGUACUAAGUGUUGGAUGUCAAAGUUCAGUGCUGCAGUUAACGCAAUAAGUACUCCGCCUGAGUAGUACGUUCGCAAGAAUGAAACUCAAAUGAAUUGACGGGG